GACGAACGCUGGCGGCGUGCUUUCACAUGCAAGUCGAACGGAAAGGCCCUGCUUUUGUGGGGUGCUCGAGUGGCGAACGGGUGAGUAACACGUGAGUAACCUGCCCUUGACUUUGGGAUAACUUCAGGAAACUGGGGCUAAUACCGGAUAGGAGCUCCUGCUGCAUGGUGGGGGUUGGAAAGUUUCGGCGGUUGGGGAUGGACUCGCGGCUUAUCAGCUUGUUGGUGGGGUAGUGGCUUACCAAGGCUUUGACGGGUAGCCGGCCUGAGAGGGUGACCGGCCACAUUGGGACUGAGAUACGGCCCAGACUCCUACGGGAGGCAGCAGUGGGGAAUAUUGCACAAUGGGCGGAAGCCUGAUGCAGCAACGCCGCGUGCGGGAUGACGGCCUUCGGGUUGUAAACCGCUUUCGCCUGUGACGAAGCGUGAGUGACGGUAAUGGGUAAAGAAGCACCGGCUAACUACGUGCCAGCAGCCGCGGUGAUACGUAGGGUGCGAGCGUUGUCCGGAUCUAUUGGGCGUAAAGGGCUCGUAGGUGGUUGAUCGCGUCGGAAGUGUAAUCUUGGGGCUUAACCCUGAGCGUGCUUUCGAUACGGGUUGACUUGAGGAAGGUAGGGGAGAAUGGAAUUCCUGGUGGAGCGGUGGAAUGCGCAGAUAUCAGGAGGAACACCAGUGGCGAAGGCGGUUCUCUGGGCCUUUCCUGACGCUGAGGAGCGAAAGCGUGGGGAGCGAACAGGCUUAGAUACCCUGGUAGUCCACGCUGUAAACGGUGGGUACUAGGUGUGGGGUCCAUUCCACGGGUUCCGUGCCGUAGCUAACGCUUUAAGUACCCCGCCUGGGGAGUACGGCCGCAAGGCUAAAACUCAAAGGAAUUGACGGGGCCCCGCACAAGCGGCGGAGCAUGCGGAUUAAUUCGAUGCAACGCGUAGAACCUUACCUGGGUUUGACAUGGAUCGGGAGUGCUCAGAGAUGGGUGUGCCUCUUUUGGGGUCGGUUCACAGGUGGUGCAUGGCUGUCGUCAGCUCGUGUCGUGAGAUGUUGGGUUAAGUCCCGCAACGAGCGCAACCCUUGUUCACUGUUGCCAGCACGUUAUGGUGGGGACUCAGUGGAGACCGCCGGGGUCAACUCGGAGGAAGGUGGGGAUGACGUCAAGUCAUCAUGCCCCUUAUGUCCAGGGCUUCACGCAUGCUACAAUGGCUGGUACAGAGAGUGGCGAGCCUGUGAGGGUGAGCGAAUCUCGGAAAGCCGGUCUCAGUUCGGAUUGGGGUCUGCAACUCGACCUCAUGAAGUCGGAGUCGCUAGUAAUCGCAGAACAGCAACGCUGCGGUGAAUACGUUCCCGGG
rnacentral:rRNA from 1 species